AAAGAAACCAACAGGGAUUGCCCCAGUAACGGCGAGUGAAGCGGCAAGAGCUCAAAUUUGAAAGCUGGCUCCUUCGGGGUCCGCAUUGUAAUUUGUAGAGGAUGCUUCGGGAGCGGUCCCCAUCUAAGUGCCCUGGAACGGGACGUCAUAGAGGGUGAGAAUCCCGUAUGGGAUGGGGUGUCCGCGCCCGUGUGAAGCUCCUUCGACGAGUCGAGUUGUUUGGGAAUGCAGCUCUAAAUGGGUGGUAAAUUUCAUCUAAAGCUAAAUAUUGGCCGGAGACCGAUAGCGCACAAGUAGAGUGAUCGAAAGAUGAAAAGCACUUUGAAAAGAGAGUUAAAAAGCACGUGAAAUUGUUGAAAGGGAAGCGCUUGCGACCAGACUCGCUCGCGGGGUUCAGCCGGCAUUCGUGCCGGUGUACUUCCCCGCGGGCGGGCCAGCGUCGGUUUGGGCGGUCGGUCAAAGGCCCUCGGAAGGUAACGCCCCUAGGGGCGUCUUAUAGCCGAGGGUGCAAUGCGACCUGCCUAGACCGAGGAACGCGCUUCGGCUCGGACGCUGGCAUAAUGGUCGUAAACGAC
rnacentral:rRNA from 2 species